rnacentral:rRNA from 1 species
GACGAACGCUGGCGGCGUGCUUAACACAUGCAAGUCGAACGGGAACUCCCUGCUUUUGUGGGCUGCUCUAGUUACGACCGGGUGAGUAACCCGUGAGUAACCUGCCCUUGACUUUGGGAUAACUUCAGGAAGCUUGAUCUAAUACCGGAUAGGAGCUCCUGCUGCAUGGUGGGGGUGGGAAAGUUUCGGCGGUUGGGGAUGGACUCGCGGCUUAUCAGAUUGGUGGUGGGGUAGUGUCUUAGCAAGGCUUUGCCGGGUAGCCGGGCUGAGAGGGUGACCGGCCACAUUGGGACUGAGAUACGGCACAGACUCCUCCGGGAGGCAGCAGUGGGGAAUAUUGUACUAUGGGCGGAAGCCUGAUGCAGCAACGCCGCGUGCGGGAUGACGGCCUUCGGGUUGUAAACUGCUUCCGCUUGUGACGAAGCGUGAGUGACGGUACUGGGUAAAGAAGCACCGGCUAACUACGUG